UCCAUUGCUCAGUUGGUAAAGCACAAAGCUCUUAACCUUGUGGACGUGGGUUCAAGCCCUGCAAUGGAA
rnacentral:tRNA from 1 species